rnacentral:rRNA from 1 species
CAGCCGCCGCGGGAAAACGUAGGGUGCGAGCGUUAAUCGCAAUUACUGGGCGUAAAGCGUGCGCAGGCGGUUCUGUAAGACAGGCGUGAAAUCCCCGGGCUCAACCUGGGAACGGCGCUUGUGACUGCAAAGCUAGAGUGCAGCAGAGGGGGGUGGAAUUCCGCGUGUAGCAGUGAAAUGCGUAGAUAUGCGGAGGAACACCGAUGGCGAAGGCAAUCCCCUGGGCCUGCACUGACGCUCAUGCACGAAAGCGUGGGGAGCAAACAGGAUUAGAUACCCCUGUAGUCCCUGUCUCUUAUAC